AUUAAGGUGGCAGAGCCCGGUAAUUGCAAAAGGCCUAAGCCCUUUCUACAGGGGUUCAAAUCCUCUCCUUAACU
rnacentral:tRNA from 1 species